CAAAUCUUAAAUUGAAGAGUUUGAUCAUGGCUCAGAUUGAACGCUGGCGGCAGGCCUAACACAUGCAAGUCGAGCGGAAACGAGUUAUCUGAACCUUCGGGGAACGAUAACGGCGUCGAGCGGCGGAC
rnacentral:rRNA from 1 species